ensembl:lncRNA
CUGUGGUCCUUGAGAAGCACUGGGCUUCUUAGUAGUCGUUAAGCCUGUGUGGUUCCAAAGCCCGUGCUCUUCUACUUGGAGACACCAGUGCAUUUGUGGACACAGUUGUGGACAGGCCCUGGUUGUACAUGGUGAUUUUAGCAGUUCCCAGGCAGUAAGCAUGGCAGACAAAGAAGUUAGAAGCCACCAGCCUGCUCUGAGGAAAACUACAGCACUUGAGGAGGGCCAGGAGCUUCCUUUUACAUUGCAGAGGCUUUGACAUGAAGAGUAAGGAGGUGGAGACCAGGUCAGAGAGAGCGGGCACCAUUUUCCUGACAUGGGUGGACGUUUGAUGGGAGAACAGGAAGCUGCAGCACUCUGGAGUGUAGACAGUGACCUUGGGCACAGAGAGACCUUACAGCUUCCUUGAGACGGGAGAUCAGGGGCUGUUUGUCUGCACGGUGAUUUGGUGGUGGUCCUGAAACCGAAGAGGCAGAGGAGCCGCUCUGCUCCCCCCAACCCUCGCCUGGCCUCUUGGUGACACCCCAGACUGUUCUGUGUGCCUGCUGUGAACCCCGCUUCCUUUCGAGAUGAAUUCCAGCGCAGCUCUGCUCAUUCACCCCAGCUGCCUACCACAGAGAAGCCCGGGCAGCUUCCUCUCGGUGUCCCCACUCGGAGGCCCAGGGACAGGCGUUGAUACUCACCACGGCCAGGAGAUGCUCCGGUUUGAACAAGGGCACCCUGUGCCAGGCGUUUGACAACUUGUAGCCCAAGAUGAAGGCACUAGAGCAGUAAGGGAGGAAGCACCAUCCCUCGACGCUGCUUGUCUGUGCAGCGCAGACUGACUUUAAGUCAUUCCUGAGGUCAUGGAAAGUGCAGCUGGUGUUUUCGAGGGCGGAGGGACGCCUCGGGAAGGAGGACCGGCGAGCUAUGCGGCGAGCAAAGAAGAGUGCUCACCUGAAGUCUGGCUCACAGGGAGCCUGUGCCUCUGCAGUGCAGCCCCAGUUCUCCACCUCACCGUGGAUGCUCCUACGGGCCUCAAGCUUCAUGUACACCCAGGGCAAUGCUAGAUGUCGUCACAUAGCUGCUCCCAUUUGCAUCUCAAAAAAACAGCUAGUGAUGCUUUGUGAGUAAACAAGAAGAUCCACACUCAGAGCUUUUGUGUGACAGUUGUGGCAGACACUCUGGCUGCUGGCUCCAAGUCUGUCCCUCCUCCCUCAGCGCUGCAGAUUUGGAUUUACUCAGGAUCCACUCAUCCACCUGGCCCAGCCUCCGGAGAAAAGCUUGUCAGAGUGGGACUUCGGUUCCUGUUCCCCUUGGCCUUGCUGCUGGUAGCCCACUCGUGCUCUGAGGUCGGCCUGCCUCAGGGGACAGGGGCCUUCGUGCUGUCUGACUUCCUCACUUGGUAUUUCCGUUACUUGCAGCCCAAGGCAUCCCGGCUUACCCUGGAGCUGAGGAAUGACUUUCUACUUCCACUGGGGACUGAGUCUGUCUGCAGGAAACACGGCACAGGUCACAAACAGGUUCCACCGAUGCCGCCAGCUCUGAUAUGGGAGCUGUAGACUCCAUGUUCUGGAUGAAAGUGAUUUGGGGACGACAGAGCCAGCGCUGAACCUCAGGAGGGCAGUGGAGGACAGCAUGAGGCCGUCCUGUGACCCUAGGGCUGGGAGGGACAUUGAAGCCGUGCUGCAGCUGGAGAAAGUCUUUAUGCAAUUACAGUGGGGUCAGUGUGGGCCCAGCAGUGCUGAGUGGGUAAGAGGAUAAUAAUAAUAACAACAACAACUGCAGCACGACGCCCGAUCUGACUCCAUCCCCCAAGCAUCUCAAAGAGUAGUUCCUUAUUUUUCACACUUGGAUGAGAAAAGCAAGGCAAGGAAAAGCAAGUAGGGGGCACCUGAAUUGCAAUUCGGUUUUGUCCUAGAUUUUAAUCGUUGUGCUGAACAAAAGUGAUGACCUCUCACCCGGAAGGAAACCAACAGGGUCACAGGACAGAUCUCUUGCCCAGCCCUGGAGUGGGGGUGGCUGCCGCUGACCCACUGCUGAGCAAAUGAGCCCUCCAGGCCCUGGGAGUGGGGGGGCUCUGGUCCAGCACCCAAAGCUGGCAGGGGGCCUGGUAUUCAGGCAGGGCGCCUUGCCUGUUUGCUGAGCCAAUGAGCAGGCAGUGUGUUUGGGGCUGGAGCCCUUGCAGUGAUUUUGUGAGUGUCUUUAUGAGGUGUGAUCAAAAGUACAGCGAAUGCUGGGGCCUGGUGCCAUCCGACAGAAAGGCAGCCCCUAAAACACAGUGCGUCCUCGUCUACCUCAUUCAGCAGACCUGGCACCGUGCGACUUCUGGCUCUUCCUCAAAGUCAAAACGACCACAGAAGGCAAGCGUUUUGAGUCCACGGAGGACAGCAAGGCAGCCAGGACAGCACAACUUGAACACACAGCAAAGAGGACUUCCAGAACUGCUACAGGAAGUGGUCUGGGACAGCUGCCCGGCCUGGGGCUCCUGGCUUCUGGGCAUCAGUGGAGGGAGAGGUGUCAUUGGCCACCUCCAGUGACACAGUGGGAGUGGAAGUGACUUGCAUUGCACCUGAGCCACAGGAGGAGGAGCUCGGGGCCUUGCUGUCACUGGGAAUGGCUGCUGUUCUCAUCAGGGGAGUUCUGAUCUUCACCAUGAGCAUCACUUCCUGGCUCCAAUGUGGAUCCCUCAGCCUGGUGGC